rnacentral:rRNA from 1 species
AAAUGAAUUGACGGGGGCCCGCACAAGCGGAGGAACAUGUGGUUUAAUUCGAUGAUACGCGAGGAACCUUACCUGGGCUUGAAUUGCAGACGACAGGAGCAGAAAUGCUUUUUUCUUCGGACGUCUGUGAAGGUGCUGCAUGGUUGUCGUCAGCUCGUGCCGUGAGGUGUCGGCUUAAGUGCCAUAACGAGCGCAACCCUUAUUGUUAGUUGCUAACAGGUUAAGCUGAGGACUCUAACGAGACUGCCGUCGUAAGAUGUGAGGAAGGAGGGGAUGACGUCAAAUCAGCACGGCCCUUAUGUCCAGGGCGACACACGUGUUACAAUGGGAGGAUCAACGGGCAGCUACCUAGCGAUAGGAUGCUAAUCUCUAACCCCUCUCUCAGUUCGGAUUGAAGUCUGGAAUUCGACUUCAUGAAGCUGGAUUCGCUAGUAAUCGCGCAUCAGCCACGGCGCGGUGAAUACGUUCCCGGGCCUUGUACACACCGCCCGU